AGGAAUGACAAGCAACUGCGCUUGCUUCAGUAAUGGCGAAUGAACCGGCAACAGACAGUCUCAGCCUGAACAGAAUCCAGUUGCACCCCGUGUGCACUCGGCUCUUGUGUGAUUCAGCAGAUGCUGUGGGUUGAUGGAGCGGGUGGUGAGUCUUGGCAGGCCAUGCACCAAGAAUGUCCCUGGAAUGGGCAACGAUUCAAGGAUACUGUCCUGUAUGGUGCUGUGUAUGUGGCCUGCUUUGGCUUUGCUGCUUGCAUCCAGGAGUAGAGUUGCUUGGGACUGCAGUUUGAAGAGCGCGGUGUAUCCUGCGCAAGGAACAAUACUGACAUGGAACCGAUAGCGCACAAGUAGAGUGAUUGAAGGAUGCAAAGUACCUUGCAAAGGGGGUUAAAAGUCCCUGAAGCCUUGGCAGGAACGGCGGAGAGUGGUGCUGUGGUUAUCUGGUCAGCUAUCAGGCAGCUUGUCCAGCGGGUACAGCCUUCGGGCUGGCCUCUGGCUGGUUGUCCUGAGACCAGGGUCCUGAAGGACCAUCCUGUUGGAAUCCAAGCAACCUUGGGCUGGCCCUGUGCUGGUCACUGAGCUCCAUCCUGAAGAAUGGAAUGCAUAUCGUGGCAGUCAGAGGUGACAAUGCGCUUCCCUGAGCCCGAGGGAAUCAGAUCAGAGAUAUCACACACGGACAGAUCUGUCAAGUCCUCAAGAGAGGCAAGUCUGUUGUUGAGAGCAAUGCCAAGCCUGCUUUGUCUCCGGACAUUGCAGUGCACUGAACCUUGAAUGUUGAAGCAAUGCCAUGCUGCAUGCUGGCAGCAUCGUCCUGACGAUGGCUCACUUGUGGUGGAUGCUUUGCAGAGAGUGUGCAGUGCAGACGGCAGUUGAGCUUGGUAUCAGUACCGCUCUCUGCCCGUCUUGAAACACGGACCAAGGAGUCUAUGGAGCAUGCAAAAUCAAAUGGUGCGAUCAGAAACCAUGCGAUGUGGUGAAGGCAACAGUCCAGAUGGAUGCAACUGUGUGCCCGAGACAACAAGGCCAUACCGUGCAUGUGGAGCUUCUGUGCCGGGGCCUUUCCAUGGGACAGUGCUGGCAUUCUGCAUGGGACACCGGUCCCGAAGUUCAGUGAACAGGGUUCUGAGUGAUUGUGUGGUCCAUGGGACCCGAAAGGUGGUGAACUAUACCGUGCUAUGACGAAGCUGUGGGAAACUGCAGUGGAAGUCAGCAGCUGUUCUGACGUGCAAAUUGUGUAGCCUGAGCGCGGCAUAGGGGUGAAAGGCCAAUCGAGCCACCUAGUAGCUGGUUCCCUUUGAAGUUUCCCUCAGGAUAGCUGGGUUCGGAUGCACAGCCUGAGAUGAUUGGUUAUGUCCUGUAAAGCAACGCAUGAGAGGCAAUGUGGGCAGGCUGUCCUGCUCAACCUAUUCUCGAACUGUGAAUGGGCCUGGACCAGCCCAAGCAAGCUUCUUCACUGCACUGAGUCUGUGUCACAGCAGUUCUCAGUAUCUGAGCUUGAUCCAAGGAGUGUGCAACUUGAGAGAGUGUCUGUCCGAUGGUUCAGAGGUGAGCCUUCUCUGUGAAGCCACUGCGGCUGUCUGGAUGGAAUGCAAAGCAGAGUCUAUGCAAGGUUGCUGCCUUAUGCUGAACAGAUGUCCCUCUGUGGACCAGGAUUGGUAAGCAGUGCUGGUGAUGCGGGGUGCUCCGAGAGUGGACUUACAGGACCAGAGUGCUGGCUCAUACACAGAUCCCACAAAGGAUGUUGCCUGCUAGGGAUAGCAGGACGGUGGCCAUGAAGGUUGGAACCCGCUAAGGAAUGUGUAACAACUCACCUGCCGAAGCAAGCAGCUCCGAAAAUGGAUGGUGCCCAAGUCAGUGAAGCUAUCGUUGCCUUAUAGUCCACCGCUGCUGUGGCAGCAAAGCAGAGCAUCAGCGUGUAAAAGGGCAUUGUUGACCGCUGCAAAAGCUGAGCUUGAGCUUGGCUGAAGUGUCAUCUGGCGCAGAUCUUGGUUGCAGUAGCGAAUACUCCAUCUGAUGAAGAGCAGAGCAAACCCUGCUGUGCGCAGUUGAGGACAGGAGUGGAGCAGGCUUCCACACCAACAGCCGUUGAAUGUGGGUCAGCCGACCGUGAGCCAAGUGGUAAUUCACCGAACAACCAAAGCUGCCAUGCUAUCUCAGAUCAAGUGUGAAGUGACUGGUCAGAUGCCAGCAUCCUCUUCCAGAGGGCUGCAUCCUGGAGCUUGUUAAGACAGUGCACAGACUAUCUGAUUCCGUCCUGGCAGGACUGGCAAACAGGCAAGCAAGUGCAACAUUCUGCUGUGAUGGGCUUGGGGUUGAUUGGAUGGCAACAUCCAUGUUGUUGGCAAGCAGGCACAGGGGCAGUGCAACCCCUGAGGAGUUCUCGUUUCCUCCUGAUUGAACAAGCCAAGGCAGGCCAUUGAUUGGCAUGACAGAUGAUGGUGUGGGCUGCUGCCCAGCAUGGCAAUGCAUUCUCUGUGUUGAUGGACUGAACCUGUGUUGCAGAACGAAGCUAUUGUGUGCCACAGUCUGGUUGGCACUUCCUCCACUGAAGAGCCUGUGGGACGUGAUCCCUGAUUCCUUGUUGUCGUACUGUAUCACCGCAGCCGGUCUCCUCGGCUAGAAGCCGCUUGUCUACAGACUAAAUGCAGCUAAGGGAAGUCGGCAAACUGGCCAUGUACCUUCGGAAGAUGUGGUGGCUCCACAGGCCAAGUCACCGGGCCCAUCUGUGUGCAGCCUUGCUGGAGUUGUAGCCGGCAGACCUGUGGCUCGACCAUCGGUGCUGCAUCGUGUUGCUUCUUCCACUACUGUCAUGCAGGUGGGGAUUGCCUGUCUAACAGGUGGUCCAUCCCAGUGUCUACCAAGUGGCUCAUAUGGAACUGUUGCUGUGCAAGGGAAUCUGACUGUUUAAUUGAAACCCAGCUUUGUGAAGGGAUCAGCUGGCUGGUCCCAUGAGGUGACUUCUGCCCAGUGCUCUGGUUGUCAAUGCGAAGAGAUUCAGCCAAGCGCGGGUAAACGGCGGGAGUAACUAUGACUCUCUUAAGGUAGCCAAAUGCCUCGUCAACCAAUUAUUGACGCGCAUGAAUGGAUCAACGAGAUUCCUGCUGUCCCUAGUUGCCGUCUGGUGAACCAACAGCCAAGGGAACGGGCUUGGAUGUGUCAGCGGGGAAAGAAGA
rnacentral:rRNA from 1 species